rnacentral:rRNA from 1 species
AACCAGCUACUAGAAGGUUCGAUUAGUCUUUCGCCCCCAUGCCCAUAUUUGACGAUCGAUUUNNNNNNNNNNNNNNNUGCGAGCCUCCACCAGAGUUUCCUCUGGCUUCACCCUAUACAGGCAUAGUUCACCNUCUUUCGGGUCCGGCCCCGUAUGCUCUUACUCAAAUCCAUCCGAGAACAUCAGGAUCGGUCGAUGAUGCGCCGAAGCUCUCACCUGCGUUCACUUUCAUUACGCGUAGGGGUUUGACACCCGAACACUCGCAUACGAAGACGACUCCUUGGUCCGUGUUUCAAGACGGGUCGCUGGUGACCAUUACGCCAGCAUUGCNGGANNNGCGUACCUCGGUCCGCAGCGGGGCAUUGCGCGACGGGCUAUAACACUCCCCGAGAGGAGCCACGUUCCCGACGCCUUUAUCCCCCGCCGCGAACCGAUGCUGGCCUGGNNGCACGGCGGAGUGCACCGGCGAGAACGCCGGAUGAUCCNNCGCNCUCAAGUCUGGUCACAAGCGCUUCCCUUUCAACAAUUUCACGUACUGUUUAACCCUCUUUUCAAAGUGCUUUUCAUCUUUCGAUCACUCUACUUGUGCGCUAUCGGUCUCUGGCCAAUAUUUGACUUUAGAAGACAUAUACCUCCCAUUUAGAGCAGCAUUCCCAAACUACUCGACUCGUCGAAGGAGCUUUACACUGGCUUGGCGUCCGACCAGACGGGGCUCUCACCCUCUAUGGCGUCCCGUUCCAGGGAACUCGGAAGGCGCCGCGCCAAAANCAUCCUCUGCAAAUUACAACUCGGGCCCUGGGGGNNNCCAGAUUUCAAAUUUGAGCUGUUGCCGCUUCACUCGCCGUUACUGGGGCAAUCCCUGUUGGUUUCUUUUCCNCCGCUUAUUGA